UGCCCAACUUUCCGACUAACUGGGCGUAAGGCAUGCAGCCGUCAGCCGUCCUGUUGGACAGCCGAUGCCUAGCUAUCCGAGAUCGAGCAUACGCGGUACUGAGAUCGCGAGAGGACACUAUCAGGGUGGUAGUGGUGAUAUGCGUAGUGAUCCGGAGUACACGAAGUGCGAAUGCUAGUGUCCGUGCUCCGUAUGUGACGCUGAGGUGCGAAAUUCCAGGGGAGCGAACGGGAGUAGAUACCCCGGUAGUCCUGUCGGUAAACGAUGAGCACUAGGUGUAGGAGGUAUCGACCCCUUCUGUGCCGGAGGAAACCCACUAAGUGGUCCGCGUGGGGAGUACGGUCGCAAGAUUAAAACUCAAAGGAAUUGACGAGGACCCGCACAAGCAGCGGAGCGUGUGGUAUAAUUUGAUGCGACGCGAAGAACCUUACCAGGGUUUGACAUGUUCUUGCACCACCAGGAGACUGGUGUCCCUUCGGGGCGGGCACACAGGUGCUGCAUGGCUGUCGUCAGCUCGUGCUGUGAGGUGUUGGGUUAAGUCCCGCAACGAGCGCAACCCCUGUCGUCGGUUAGGAUGUCCGGCGAGACUGCCACGCUAAACGUGGAGGAAGGUGGGGAUGACGUCAAGUCAGCACGGCCCUUACGUCUUGGGCGACACACACGCUACAAUGGUCGCGACAGCGGGAAGCGAACCGGUGACGGGGAGCCAAUCCAAUCAAACGCGAUCUCAGUUCGGAUGGCAGGCUGCAACCCGCCUGCCUGAAGCCGGAGUUGCUAGUAACCGUGGGUCAGCACACCACGGUGAAUACGUUCCCGGGUCUUGUACACACCGCCCGUCACACCACGAAAGUCGGCAACACCUGAAGCCGCUGGGCUAACCUCAUUAGAGGAGGCAGGCGUCGAGGGUGGGGUUGGUGAUUGGGGUGAAGUCGUAACAAGGUAACCAAUGGCGAUCUGCAGAAGCCAGUG
rnacentral:rRNA from 1 species